rnacentral:rRNA from 1 species
UACAGAGGUCUCAAGCGUUGUUCGGAUUUAUUGGGCGUAAAGGGUGCGCAGGCUGUAUGGUAAGUUUUGGUGUGAAAUCCUGGGGCUUAACCCCAGAAUUGCACUGAAUACUGCCGUGCUAGAGGACUGGAGAGGAGAUUGGAAUUCACGGUGUAGCAGUGAAAUGCGUAGAUAUCGUGAGGAAGACCAGUGGCGAGGGCGAAUCUCUGGACAGUUCCUGACGCUCAUGCACGAAGGCCAGGGGGAGCAAACGGGG